rnacentral:rRNA from 1 species
UACGUAGGGACCGAGCGUUGUCCGGAAUCAUUGGGCGUAAAGAGCGUGUAGGCGGCCACUUAAGUCCUGCGUGAAAUCUUGCGGCUCAACCGCAAGCGGUCGUGGGAAACUGGGUGGCUAGAGUGCGGGAGAGGAGAGUGGAAUUCCGGGUGGAGCGGUGAAAUGCGUAGAGAUCCGGAGGAACACCGACGGCGAAGGCAGCGCCCUGGCCGCCAUCUGACGCUCAGGCACGAAAGCUGGGGGAGCGAACAGG